rnacentral:rRNA from 1 species
CUAAUGCCGGAUAUUGUGUCCUACUGCAUAGUAGGUUAACGAAAGAUUUAUCGUUGUGGGAUGAGCUUGCGUCCGAUUAGCUAGUUGGCGGGGUAAUAGCCCACCAAGGCGACGAUCGGUAGCCGGCCUGAGAGGGUGAUCGGCCACAUUGGGACUGAGAUACGGCCCAGACUCCUACGGGAGGCAGCAGUAGGGAAUAUUGCGCAAUGGGGGGAACCCUGACGCAGCAACGCCACGUGUGGGAAGAAGCAUUUCGGUGUGUAAACCACUGUCGGAAAGGAAUAACGGAAGACUUCGGUCUUUAUGAAUGUACUUUUAGAGGAAGCACCGGCAAACUUCGUGCCAGCAGCCGCGGUAAUACGAGGGGUGCAAGCGUUGUUCGGAAUCACUGGGCGUAAAGGGAGCGUAGGCGGAAGUGCAAGCAAUCUGUAUAAUCCUGGGGCCCAACCCCAGUUCUGCAGAUUGGACUGUAUUUCUUGAAUAGUUCAGAGGCAAGCGGAAUUUCUGGUGUAGCGGUGGAAUGCGUAGAGAUCAGAAAGAACACCAAUGGCGAANGCAGCUUGCUGGGGACUUAUUGACGCUGANGCUCGAAAGUGUGGGUAGCAAACAGGAUUAGAUACCCUGGUAGUCCACACUGU